GAUGAACGCUAGCGGCAGGCUUAAUACAUGCAAGUCGUGGGGCAGCAUGAAUGUAGCAAUACAUUUGAUGGCGACCGGCAAACGGGUGCGGAACACGUACACAACCUUCCUAUAAGUGGGGAAUAGCCCAGAGAAAUUUGGAUUAAUACCCCGUAACAUAACGAUGUGGCAUCACAUUGUUAUUAUAGCUUCGGCGCUUAUUGAUGGGUGUGCGGCUGAUCAGAUAGUUGGCGGGGUAACGGCCCACCAAGUCUACGAUCAGUAGCUGAUGUGAGAGCAUGAUCAGCCACACGGGCACUGAGACACGGGCCCGACUCCUACGGGAGGCAGCAGUAAGGAAUAUUGGACAAUGGACGCAAGUCUGAUCCAGCCAUGCCGCGUGAAGGAUUAAGGUCCUCUGGAUUGUAAACUUCUUUUAUAAGGGACGAAAAAAGGUCUUUCUAGAUCGUCUGACGGUACCUUAUGAAUAAGCACCGGCUAACUCCGUGCCAGCAGCCGCCGUAAAAC
rnacentral:rRNA from 1 species